UUAAAUUGAAGAGUUUGAUCAUGGCUCAGAUUGAACGCUGGCGGCAGGCCUAACACAUGCAAGUCGAACGGUAACAGGAAGCAGCUUGCUGCUUCGCUGACGAGUGGCGGACGGGUGAGUAAUGUCUGGGAAACUGCCUGAUGGAGGGGGAUAACUACUGGAAACGGUGGCUAAUACCGCAUAACGUCGCAAGACCAAAGAGGGGGACCUUCGGGCCUCUUGCCAUCAGAUGUGCCCAGAUGGGAUUAGCUUGUUGGUGAGGUAACGGCUCACCAAGGCGACGAUCCCUAGCUGGUCUGAGAGGAUGACCAGCCACACUGGAACUGAGACACGGNCCAGACUCCUACGGGAGGCAGCAGUGGGGAAUAUUGCACAAUGGGCGCAAGCCUGAUGCAGCCAUGCCGCGUGUAUGAAGAAGGCCUUCGGGUUGUAAAGUACUUUCAGCGGGGAGGAAGGUGUUGUGGUUAAUAACCGCAGCAAUUGACGUUACCCGCAGAAGAAGCACCGGCUAACUCCGUGCCAGCAGCCGCGGUAAUACGGAGGGUGCAAGCGUUAAUCGGAAUUACUGGGCGUAAAGCGCACGCAGGCGGUCUGUCAAGUCGGAUGUGAAAUCCCCGGGCUCAACCUGGGAACUGCAUUCGAAACUGGCAGGCUUGAGUCUUGUAGAGGGGGGUAGAAUUCCAGGUGUAGCGGUGAAAUGCGUAGAGAUCUGGAGGAAUACCGGUGGCGAAGGCGGCCCCCUGGACAAAGACUGACGCUCAGGUGCGAAAGCGUGGGGAGCAAACAGGAUUAGAUACCCUGGUAGUCCACGCCGUAAACGAUGUCUACUUGGAGGUUGUGCCCUUGAGGCGUGGCUUCCGGAGCUAACGCGUUAAGUAGACCGCCUGGGGAGUACGGCCGCAAGGUUAAAACUCAAAUGAAUUGACGGGGGCCCGCACAAGCGGUGGAGCAUGUGGUUUAAUUCGAUGCAACGCGAAGAACCUUACCUGGUCUUGACAUCCACAGAAGAAUCCAGAGAUGGAUUUGUGCCUUCGGGAACUGUGAGACAGGUGCUGCAUGGCUGUCGUCAGCUCGUGUUGUGAAAUGUUGGGUUAAGUCCCGCAACGAGCGCAACCCUUAUCCUUUGUUGCCAGCGGUUAGGCCGGGAACUCAAAGGAGACUGCCAGUGAUAAACUGGAGGAAGGUGGGGAUGACGUCAAGUCAUCAUGGCCCUUACGACCAGGGCUACACACGUGCUACAAUGGCGCAUACAAAGAGAAGCGACCUCGCGAGAGCAAGCGGACCUCAUAAAGUGCGUCGUAGUCCGGAUUGGAGUCUGCAACUCGACUCCAUGAAGUCGGAAUCGCUAGUAAUCGUGGAUCAGAAUGCCACGGUGAAUACGUUCCCGGGCCUUGUACACACCGCCCGUCACACCAUGGGAGUGGGUUGCAAAAGAAGUAGGUAGCUUAACCUUCGGGAGGGCGCUUACCACUUUGUGAUUCAUGACUGGGGUGAAGUCGUAACAAGGUAACCGUAGGGGAACCUGCGGUUGGAUCACCUCCUUACCUUAAAGAA
rnacentral:rRNA from 1 species